rnacentral:tRNA from 1 species
AAGAGGAUGCCUGACAAAAAAGGAUUAUUUUGAUAGAAUAAAUCAUGCACAUUUAUUUGCUUCUCUUA